rnacentral:rRNA from 1 species
GAUGAACGCUGGCGGCGUGCUUAACACAUGCAAGUCGAACGGAAAGGCCCAAGCUUGCUUGGGUACUCGAGUGGCGAACGGGUGAGUAACACGUGGGUGAUCUGCCCUGCACUUCGGGAUAAGCCUGGGAAACUGGGUCUAAUACUGGAUAGGACCACUUCUUGGAUGUUGUGGUGGAAAGUUUUUUCGGUGUGGGAUGAGCUCGCGGCCUAUCAGCUUGUUGGUGGGGUAAUGGCCUACCAAGGCGUCGACGGGUAGCCGGCCUGAGAGGGUGUACGGCCACAUUGGGACUGGGAUACGGCCCAGACUCCUACGGGAGGCAGCAGUGGGGAAUAUUGCACAAUGGGCGCAAGCCUGAUGCAGCGACGCCGCGUGGGGGAUGACGGCCUUCGGGUUGUAAACUCCCUUCGCUAGGGACGAAGCGUUUUGUGACGGUACCUGGAGAAGAAGCACCGGCUAACUACGUG